AAAGAGUUAAUUAAUUAAUAAAGUUAUUGUAGCAAAAUUAUUUUUAAUAAUUAAUUGGAAAUGAAAUGUUAAUCGUUUUUAAAUAUAUCUAGUUUUUUCAGAAAAAAAUUUAAUUUUAAAUUUUUUUAAAAAAUAAAUUAAAUAAUUAAUUUAUUUUUAAAAAAAUUUUAUAUUUUAAGGGAUAAGCUUUAAAUUAAAAAUUUAUAAUAAAAAUUUGAUUAAUUGAGAAUUUUAUAAUUUAAAUUAUUAAUAAAUUUUAAUUUGUUAUAAAUAAUUUCAUUUAAGUAAAAAUUUAAUUAUAAUUUAAUUUUUUAUGAAAUAAUAAUUUUUAUCAAGAAGAAAAUUAAUUAUAAUGAUAAAAUUAGUAUAAUUAAUAAAAAAAAAUUAUAUUUAUUAAUUUAUUUAACCAAUAAAAAGGAAUUCGGCAAAUAUAUAUAUUCACUUGUUUAUCAAAAACAUGUCUUUUUGAAAUUAAUUUAAAGUCUAAUCUGCCCACUGAUUAAAUAUUAAAGGGCUGCAGUAUAUUGACUGUACAAAGGUAGCAUAAUCAUUAGUCAUUUAAUUGAUGACUUGUAUGAAAGAUUGAAUGAAAUAUAAACUGUCUCUUUAUUAAUAUGUAGAAUUUAAUUUUUUAAUCAAAAAGUUAAAAUAAUUUAAAAAGACGAGAAGACCCUAUAGAGUUUUAUAAAUAAUUUUAUUUUUAAAUAUUUAUAAUAAAAAAUUUAAUAUAAAGUUAUUUAUUUUGUUGGGGUGAUAAAAAAAUAUGAAAAACUUUUUUUUUUAUUUUACAUAAAUAAAUGAAUAUUUGAUCCAAUUUUAUUGAUUAAAAGAAAAAAUUACCUUAGGGAUAACAGCGUAAUUUUUUUUUUUAGUUCUUAUAAGAAAAAGAGUUUGCGACCUCGAUGUUGGAUUAAGAUAAAAUAUAAAUGCAGAAGUUUAAAAUUUUG
rnacentral:rRNA from 1 species